GUAUUCAAUACGAUACUGGGCUUCAAAUAAAAACAAACCCCUUCAAUAUUGGGCCGUCACAUCAACCACAAUGACCGACCUUACGAAAUCUAAGCCCAAGGCUACUUUCGUCAUUUAACUCUCCUACACUCAAAAAACCCUAAUCUCUCUACCGUCAAUAAACCUCCCUAUAUAAACCCUUCCACACACCAACCAUUCCUCUCACAAUUCUUCAGCCGAUUCAUUAUCUCUAGGGUUUAUAGCUUAGUCUUCGAAUCCAUAUAUCUCUGUUGUUGUGUUCUUCAAUUGCUUUAGUAUGCUUGUUCUUAGAUUUAGUGUUCAUCGAAUUUAGGGUUAUUAGAAUGGCUUCAUCAGAUAGUCGAUGUGGAUUUGUCCGUUCCCAUAUGAUUCGUUCCCUUGAAGCAAUAAGAAUCGUGUUGCUCUCGUUCCUUUAAAAUCACUCUCUAAUCAUUCAAGUAGUCAUACUGUUAAUUCUAGUUUGAUUACUGAUUAGCGAGCAUUACUUGAGCAGCUACAUAAUCUCUUAUAAUUAGGGUUUGUGUUUUGUCUUGAAUCUUGUUUUGUUGUUGUGGAAGAACAGUGAUGAGUCAGUUUACAGACCUGUAAUGAUUGCGGUAAUGAUCGCAUUAUUAUGAACAUCUAAGGGACUGAGUUCUUCUUCUUUAUUGAUUUUUUGUGUCUUGGUGGCUUUUACAUGAUAUAAAGAUUCAUGCUUUGAAUAUAUGUUUAUAUGUGAAGCUUGUUGUGAAGUGUAAUUGCCUACAUUGAAUUUAGUUUCCCUCGCUAUCCUGUUCUUCAAUUUUCAAUGAUGUUACUUAGGACGUCGGGGAACAAUAUGUUAUUUGUUUUUGUUUUUGCGAUGGGAUUUCAAAUGAGGAAAACUUUGCCAAGUCGUUGAAUGCUCAGAGAAAUCUGAGUUUUAUGAUUCCACUUGUAUAGGAAGAUCUGAUGAUUUCCUCCUCAAAACGUUGUUUUUUGUUUUUUUUUUAUUUGUCUUGGUUAUGUUUUUGUUUGGAAGCCUGUGAUGAUUAGAUUUAAUGGUUGCUGAAAACUCAAUGUUGAAAAGCAUCUAACUUGACUAGGACGGUCUGAGGCUUCUUUCAAGUUUGUGUUUUCUUUUGUAUUGGGUUUUGAAGAGUUUUGAACAUUUUAAUGUUUGUGAUGUUGUGGAUGAUGAGAAGCAAAAAUCAAAAUACAGUUAUCCCUGGCUUAGGGUUUAAAACCCGUUGCUGAGUCUUUUGUAAUCUGACACACAUCACAACAUUUUUCAUAUGUGACGACUGACUAAGGUGAAGAUUGAUUGUGUUAAUGCAAGGCGGAGAUUAUGAUGACACUUUCGGGUUGUUUGGUUGGCAUGAUGCAAUUGUUCCAAUUCGAGUUUUGAAUCAUCAAGAACUGAGUUUAAUACUAUUUCAUCAAGUCAUCCAUAUUACCUAAAAAUGUCCUCUACUUUUCAAAAAAGAUUGGGAGAAGGUUAAAUGUGAAUCAAUGCAUGAGAUGACCUCACAUGUGCAUAAAAUUAAAAGCAUUCAUUUAGAUUAACUUUCACAUCACUCGAUAGAGAAAUAAGCUAUUUCUGCAGGGUACAACUUCUUAAUGACUGCCAACAAUCCUUGUCUUAAUGACGGCCAACAAUCUAGAAAUGACUCCCUUUCUAGCUUUUAAUAUCUAUCUAUUAAUUAAAUAGGCUUCUCUUGUUAAGUAAAAACGAAAUAAAAAACAAGUAGAGAGGUAAGUUGGUUUUGCAAUCCAACAACAUGGAUAAGCUUCACAAUAUUCUUAAUCUUCUUCUACCUCCUCUUACCAUCAGUUUUCUUGUCUUCUUUUACCCAUUUUAUCUUUUGAUCAAACUUGUGAGUUGUCUUUACAAGAACAUUCGCUUUGAAAACGUUGCCGGAAAAGUAGUUCUAAUCACCGGAGCUUCCUCCGGCAUUGGAGAGCAUGUGGCAUACGAGUACGCAAAGAAAGGAGCAAUUUUAGCUCUUGUUGCUCGAAGAAAGGAUCGUCUAGAGAUUGUAGCAGAAACAUAACGUCAAUUAUGAUCUGGCGAUGUCAUCAUCGUACCUGGUGACGUUGCUAAUGUUGAGGACUGCAAGAAGUUCAUCGACGAGACGAUUCAUCAUUUGGAAACAUUACUUGUAUAAAAGGAUAAGUUAUCUAAAUUGAUGUUAUGAUUAUGAAAUUCUAAGUAUGGUAGUUUUGUAAAUUUUUCUCAAACUUUAUUAGAUACUUCAUCUCAUUUGUAUAUUAAGGAUAUUAACUUUUGGGGCUCAACGUACAUCACUUAUUUUGCUAUUCCUCAUCUUCGAAAAAGCAAAGGAAAAAUUGUUGUGAUUACUUCUGCUACGGCAAUUAUACCUUUGCCAUCGGCAAGCGUCUAUUCAGCAAGCAAAGCAGCUUUAUUAAAAUUCUUUGAAACAUUAAGAGUUGAGAUCAGUCCAUGUAUCAAAAUAACAAUUGCUAUUCCCGAAUUUAUAUCUACAGAUAUGACCACUCAGUUUAAAGAAAUGUAUGGUUCAGAUUUCAUCCUUUCAGAAUCAGUGAGUAAAUGCGCAAAAGCCAUCUUCAGAGGUAUUGGUAGAGGAGAGACAUACAUAGUAGAGCCAUCUUGGAUAAAAUGGAUCUUUUUGAUACAAAAUGUUUGUCCAGAAAUCGUUGACUACGUACUCAACUAUAUAUUUGUUCGUUAUGGCAAACCUUAUUUCAAGCGUGAUUGAUCAUAUCGAUCUAUCCAAGAUCUCUGGUUUUCAACUGUGGUUGUGUUGUCAUUAUAGCCAUGAAACUUAUACUGUGUUAAUGUGUUAUAUUGCACUAAGUCGUAGUCUUUUACUUUCUUUUUUUCCCUUUCUUCAUAUUUGUUUCAAUUUGUUUUAGAAACAAACAUUUCGUAUAUCUCUUUAUUAUUUAAUAAAGGGGAUUCA